rnacentral:rRNA from 1 species
CCACUCCAUCACCGAGUGGUUCCGCUGCUGCCCAUCGGCCGGACUCUCCCGCUGGCCGGUGUGACCCUGACUCUGUGCCGGGUCUGAGGAUGCCCUCCGUCGUCACCCCUUAUAACGCGUUACCCGCUUUCGGACUGCGUCGUUGCGGCGCACGCCCUACUUCCGGAAGCCCAACAUUUGGCGAAAGUCGUCCCUUCCUCGCUUUCACUGCCAUGGACGUCUUCUUCGUGGCCGAUUGAUGCACGGUCGUCGGCGCCAUUAUGCAUCCCACGUUCGCAACAGGCCUAAAUAACCCGCAUUUCUCGAGCAUCCGCCAAUCAGUGCAGCCUACACUUUUGGGUCACGAAUUGUGACCCGGACGUAAGCUAUGCCCGACUGAUCUCACAACAUCCCCUCUGACCUUGAGGACCACAUCGCCACUUUACGCGUCUAUAGUCCUUCUUGUGGCCACCGCUUCCGCCCAGAGACCCGUUGAUGACUGCGACUCCUCGCUUUCGCACCCCUCGUUUGUCCUAAUCUAUGGGACCAUCAGGUGCGGCAUUUGCCACCCGCGAUCCACACCCCUUGUAAGGUGCAAGAGGCACGGCGUCGAUUGCGUAAUUCGCGG